UGUGUAAAGGCAGAGUUCUGAGGGAGAGAGAGGAUAUCUGGAUGGAUUGGAACAGAUGGGACCUUGGGAGGGGAAAACAGGAAUCAGCUAUAAAGCAGAGAAGUUUCAAUUUCAUGUGCUGGUGCCCACGGAUGAAGUGUGAAAGACGACAAUUUCCUGUUUUGUUUUAUUGUCCAACAGUAGAAAAACCCCAUAAUGAUGCAUGUCAGUUUUUCCCGGAAUAAUGCAAUUUCCACUCUCGCAAAAACUCAGUCUCAGGGAUGCAAGCAGUGUAUUUGCAUUUGAUUAUCUGUAGCAGACCCGGUUGCAAUCCCCAAAGGGGCACUAACACUCACAGCCUGCAUUAUUUUUGACUAAAGUUAUACAAUUGUGCGUGAAGUACACUGGUGACAGGGUCCAAAGUAAAUAUUAAGUCAACAGCUGUUUAACUAUGUGUAUCAUAUGUGGGAUGUUAACUGGCAGAAGUUCAGGUUUGUGGGAUGUGGCUUAACAUAUUUUUAUCUGUGUUGACACUCUGUAUUUUAUGCUUCAGCUCUUCUUAUUGUGGCGUUCCCCAGGACCUCUGGUUAAAGUAAUAAAAGGCAUGUAACAGUC